AUGCUCACUUCGGCAGCACAUACACUAAAAUUGGAACGAUACAGAGAUUAGCAUGGCCCCUGAGACGAGGAUGACAUGCAAAAUCGUGAAGCACUCCAUGUUGGA